UGCCCAGGGUGACCACUCCACCUCCAGAGGAAACAACUGGGAGAUGGAGGCUAGGGAACAGAGGGAUGACUCCCAGAGGCCCGAAGGAGAAGGCAGAAGACCUCUUCGGUACGCUGACUUGCCUACGCUAAGGCCUAGAAUGGAGAGUUUGUUGCCUGGCAGUCUCACAGUGACGUGUUCACAGACAUCUGUCACCUUGGCCUGCUCUGACUUCUGUGGAUUUCUUCCAAAGACUACUGAGCCCAAGAUGAGACACAAGUGCCUCAUGGGAAAGUAGGCAUACUGGAUUGACAGGAUGGAAGUGUAACAAUGAAGGACUGGAAGAAAUUAUUAGCAAUAUCUCCCAGGCCAGUUUUUCAUCCAGACUGGUUCACAUUGUCUUAAAAUAGCUAUGUGAUGAGGAUAAAUUGACUGAACUCCAGAUUCCAAACAUGGGAUUGAGUAGCUCCCAUCCAACCUUGAGGAAACUUUCCAUGGGAGCUCCAAGGCAUGCUCCUUUUAGAUAGGUCCUUUGAUUUGGUCUCUGAGAUCUCCCUGUAAAAUUAUUUUCCAUGGGCUU